AACGAACGCUGGCGGCAGGCUUAACACAUGCCAGUCGAGCGCCUCGCAAGAGGAGCGGCAGACGGGUGAGUAACGCGUGGGAACGUACCCUUAUCUUCGGAAUAGCUCUGGGAAACUGGAAGUAAUACCGAAUGUGCCCUUAGGGGGAAAGAUUUAUCGGAUAAGGAUCGGCCCGCGUUGGAUUAGCUAGUUGGUGGGGUAAAGGCCUACCAAGGCGACGAUCCAUAGCUGGUCUGAGAGGAUGAUCAGCCACAUUGGGACUGAGACACGGCCCAAACUCCUACGGGAGGCAGCAGUGGGGAAUAGUGGACAAUGGGCGCAAGCCUGAUCCAGCCAUGCCGCGUGAGUGAUGAAGGCCUUAGGGUUGUAAAGCUCUUUCACCGGAGAAGAUAAUGACGGUAUCCGGAGAAGAAGCCCCGGCUAACUUCGUG
rnacentral:rRNA from 1 species